UGCGGAUUUUACGUUUUUAAUUUAUGUGAAACAUGAAACAUUUCAUUUGCUUUUCAUAUUGUUUGUUUCAUUUAAAAUUUUUACUCGAUCCGUAGAGACUCGUAUAAUAAUAGUGAUUUAUAAUAGCGGGCAAAAUGAACACUAAUUUUUUUUUAAAUAUCUGUAAUAUUCUAUAGUUUUUGAAGUUGAGGUGAGAUUUUCGAUUAUCCCCCCCUCGGUUUAAAUGAGAUUAGGUGAGAUUUCAUUGGACCCUCCCCCCCAUCCUGAGCUCACGUUAUUAAAGAAUGUCCC
rnacentral:misc_RNA from 1 species